rnacentral:rRNA from 1 species
GACGAACGCUGGCGGCGUGCUUAACACAUGCAAGUCGAGCGGAAAGGCCCUUUCGGGGGUACUCGAGCGGCGAACGGGUGAGUAACACGUGAGUAACCUGCCCCAAGCUUUGGGAUAACCCUCGGAAACGGGGGCUAAUACCGGGUAUUCACAUUCUGCGGCAUCGUGGGGUGUGGAAAGCUUUUGCGGUUUGGGAUGGGCUCGCGGCCUAUCAGCUUGUUGGUGGGGUGAUGGCCUACCAAGGCGAUGACGGGUAGCCGGCCUGAGAGGGCGACCGGCCACACUGGGACUGAGACACGGCCCAGACUCCUACGGGAGGCAGCAGUGGGGAAUAUUGCACAAUGGGCGGAAGCCUGAUGCAGCGACGCCGCGUGAGGGAUGAAGGCCUUCGGGUUGUAAACCUCUUUCGACAGGGACGAAGCGUGAGUGACGGUACCUGGAGAAGAAGCGCCGGCCAACUACGUGC